UGGGGAAUAUUGCACAAUGGGGGAAACCCUGAUGCAGCGACGCCGCGUGAACGAAGAAGGUAUUCGUAUCGUAAAGUUCUGUCCUAUGGGAAGAUAAUGACAGUACCAUAGAAGAAAGCUCCGGCUAAAUACGUGCCAGCAGCCGCGGUAAUACGUAUGGAGCGAGCGUUGUCCGGAAUUAUUGGGCGUAAAGGGUACGCAGGCGGUUUAAUAAGUCGAAUGUUAAAGAUCGGGGCUCAACCCCGCAAAGCAUUGGAAACUGAUAAACUUGAGUAGUGGAGAGGAAAGUGGAAUUCCUAGUGUAGUGGUGAUAUACGUAGAUAUUAGGAGGAAUACCAGUAGCGAAGGCGACUUUCUGGACACAAACUGACGCUGAGGUACGAAAGCGUGGGGAGCAAACAGG
rnacentral:rRNA from 1 species